UUUUUUUUUUUUUUUUAGAUUUAAACUGUAUCAGAUUAAAUUCGAAAGUGCUUCAAAAAACAUCGAAUCAGCGAAUAAUGUUUACCGGUUGAGAGCACUUUAUAGUUUCGAAAGCGCCAUAUAAUCGAUUUGUUCAAGGCUUUUCGAUUCGUUGACACGUGAAGUGAGUGGCUUCACCUAUUCCCAGAACCAGGACCACCAUUUGCACCUGUCGGGCGUGUGUGAAUAUCCUUCGCAGCAUUUUCGCUCUGCGAAUCCCCGAAUCCCGGCCAUCAAAUGCGGCUCAACCCCGCUGGAAAUUGAAUUCUCCGUAAAUACCACGAAAACCGUAUAACCCGUCUGUACGGUUAUAUCUUGUUGCCCUCCAGUGGAGACUGUUUUUCUGUCUGAUAACUUGCCGCCGGCUGCAGCAGCUGGUGCAUUCUGCCCGGGAUGCGAGGUUGCUCCUCCGGCUUGGGACAUGCCACGGCCUACAUAAAUAUGCAUAUGCUCCGCAAACAUUUGCCAAGUUAUUUGCGUUGGAUGCGGAAAAGGGUUGUUUGUGGUGCCCAAAAUUCAUGCGAAAACUGCUGACAUUUUCGAAAAUAAAUGCAACGUCAGAAAUAUUGCACAUGCAUGCAAAUACGCGACAGGCAGCGUGAUAAAUACACAAAUCGCAGUCAGCUUUUGCCGGUUAGACAUCCGUUUAAUUGAGUCAACAUCGCAGCGCAGCUCGGCGGAAGAUUCAUGGAUUCCGCAGGAGCAGGAGCAGGCCCCAUGGGAGUGGGUUUGGGGCGGUUCGACGGAAGGAGGAGCAGAAACGGGUGGCGUCAAAUUAACGCCGUCAACUUUUAGCAGCGUGCACAGAAAACAUUAAAAACUAAUUUAUGGAUUUGCAAGCCAACUCCCGCGUUGAUUUAUGUACACUCGACGAAAAGAAGCCCAAAUUGGAAAACGUAUAAAAGUCAAUUUUGAACUUAAGCUUGGAAUUCAAGGAGC
ensembl:ncRNA lncRNA:CR45982 long non-coding RNA:CR45982